rnacentral:rRNA from 1 species
GAUCCUGGCUCAGAUUGAACGCUGGCGGCAUGCUUUACACAUGCAAGUCGGACGGCAGCACAGAGAAGCUUGCUUCUUGGGUGGCGAGUGGCGAACGGGUGAGUAAUAUAUCGGAACGUACCGAGUAAUGGGGGAUAACUAAUCGAAAGAUUAGCUAAUACCGCAUAUUCUCUGAGGAGGAAAGCAGGGGACCUUCGGGCCGUUCGUCGUUUACGUUCGACGGCCGGCCGAUAUCUGUAUUA